rnacentral:rRNA from 1 species
UACGGGGGGGGCAAGCGUUGUUCGGAAUCAUUGGGCGUAAAGCGCGCGUAGGCGGCCCUGUAAGUCCGUUGUGAAAGUCAAAGGCUCAACCUUUGAAAGCCGAUGGAUACUGCAGGGCUAGAGUCCGGAAGAGGCGAGUGGAAUUCCUGGUGUAGCGGUGGAAUGCGCAGAUAUCAGGAGGAACACCAAUAGCGAAGGCAGCUCGCUGGGACGGUACUGACGCUAAGGCGCGAAAGCGUGGGGAGCGAACAGG